rnacentral:rRNA from 1 species
UACGAAGGGGGCUAGCGUUGUUCGGAAUCACUGGGCGUAAAGCGCACGUAGGCGGAUUGUUAAGUCCUGCGUGAAAUCUUGCGGCUCAACCGCAAGCGGUCGUGGGAAACUGGGUGGCUAGAGUGCGGGAGAGGAGAGUGGAAUUCCGGUGGUGCGAGUGGAUGGACGUAGAGAUCCGGAAGAACACCGGUGGCGAAGGCGGCCUGCUGGGCAGUAGCUGACACUGAGGCGCGACAGCGUGGGGAGCAAACAGG